rnacentral:rRNA from 1 species
AUUGAACGCUGGCGGCAGGCCUAACACAUGCAAGUCGAGCGGAUGAAGGGAGCUUGCUCCUGGAUUCAGCGGCGGACGGGUGAGUAAUGCCUAGGAAUCUGCCUGGUAGUGGGGGAUAACGUCCGGAAACGGGCGCUAAUACCGCAUACGUCCUGAGGGAGAAAGUGGGGGAUCUUCGGACCUCACGCUAUCAGAUGAGCCAAGGUCGGAUUAGAUAGUUGGUGGGGUAAAGGCCUACCAAGGAGACGAUCCGUAACUGGUCUCGAGGGAUGAUCGGUCAAACUGGAAGGUAGACACGGACAACAAUACUAAGAGAAGCAGCAGUGUGGAAUAUUGGACAGUGGGCGGAAGCAUGAUCCAGCCAUGCCGCGUGUGAGAAAAAAGUCUUCGGAUUGUAAAGCACUUUAUGUUGGGAGAAAGGGCAGUAAGUUGAUACCUUGCUGUUUUGACGUUACCAACAAAAUAAGCACCGGCUAACUUCGUG